GAUGAACGCUAGCUACAGGCUUAGCACAUGCAAGUCGAGGGGAAACGACAUCGAAAGCUUGCUUUUGAUGGGCGUCGACCGGCGCACGGGUGAGUAACGCGUAUCCAACCUGCCCAUCACUUGGGAAUAACCUUGCGAAAGUAAGACUAAUACCCAAUGACAUCCCACGAAGACAUCUGAAUGGGAUUAAAGAUUUAUCGGUGAUGGAUGGGGAUGCGUCUGAUUAGCUUGUUGGCGGGGUAACGGCCCACCAAGGCAACGAUCAGUAGGGGUUCUGAGAGGAAGGUCCCCCACAUUGGAACUGAGACACGGUCCAAACUCCUACGGGAGGCAGCAGUGAGGAAUAUUGGUCAAUGGGCGAGAGCCUGAACCAGCCAAGUAGCGUGCAGGAUGACGGCCCUAUGGGUUGUAAACUGCUUUUAUAAGGGAAUAAAGUGGGUCUCGUGAGACUUUUUGCAUGUACCUUAUGAAUAAGGACCGGCUAAUUCCGUG
rnacentral:rRNA from 1 species